rnacentral:rRNA from 1 species
CACUCCUACGGGAGGCAGCAGUGGGGAAUUUUGGACAAUGGGCGAAAGCCUGAUCCAGCAAUGCCGCGUGCAGGAUGAAGGCCUUCGGGUUGUAAACUGCUUUUGUACGGAACGAAAAAGCUCCUUCUAAUACAGGGGGCCCAUGACGGUACCGUAAGAAUAAGCACCGGCUAACUACGUGCCAGCAGCCGCGGUAAUACGUAGGGUGCGAGCGUUAAUCGGAAUUACUGGGCGUAAAGCGUGCGCAGGCGGUUAUGUAAGACAGAUGUGAAAUCCCCGGGCUCAACCUGGGAACUGCAUUUGUGACUGCAUGGCUAGAGUACGGUAGAGGGGGAUGGAAUUCCGCGUGUAGCAGUGAAAUGCGUAGAUAUGCGGAGGAACACCGAUGGCGAAGGCAAUCCCCUGGACCUGUACUGACGCUCAUGCACGAAAGCGUGGGGAGCAAACAGGAUUAGAAACCCCGGUAGUCCCAUG